CACUUUGGAAGGAGGAUUUGGGCAUGGUCCAGUUAGAUAGGGAAGGGGUUUGGUAGCAUGGAUUCACUUGUCGGACUCCUGAAAGCUGUGCCAUAAGCUUGCUACGAGGGGGUUUUCAUGCCAAUUUCUCCUCGCCGAUUUCAAGAUCUUCGUGCACCUGAGCAUUGAUUGGGCACGCUCACAUGAAGCAUUUUACGCGCAGUGAGGGAAAUGCAUCAGUAUAGUACAGUAUUUUUGAAUUAUUUCAAAAAACGUUGUCAACACUAGUAAUAGCACUCGACUCGUCUCGAAUCGAUUGAAGGAUUACUUAUUAGUGGUGUCGAGUCUGAAGCCCGAGCCAAUGCUGUAGUUGCUGAAGCCCCAUCCUAUGGAAUACUACCAACUCCCCGGCACAAGCUGCGCAAGGAAUUCAAACUGACGCACUGUCACUAUCAACGUUAUCAUUGCUGAGAUCAUCACUCGUACAUGCAGCUGAUCCAUCACUAUCGGACACACGAGUCGUCACAAUCUGAGUUUGGCUGGGCAUGAUUGGACUCAGUUUCCAGUUGCGAUACGUCACCGGACGUACUUUGCUGUGGUGGUUGCUCUGGCCUACUGUUGAGCGGACUUGCGCAUGUACCUUCGCAGCGGCAGAUGUCAGUGCACGCAAGAGAUGACUUCUUGCAUGAGCAGCGUUGAGUGUCACACACUCCUCGGCACCCGCAGCUGAUGAGGCUCUGAAGUUCUUUUGGCACUGCCUGCUGUUCUGUCCAAUUCACAGCGACUCUGCCUGAAGGAAGAAACAAACAUUGUCACAGACAGUUAAUUUAUUCAUCGCGUAUAUUUUGCAGUAGACAGUCAUAGAUAUCUGGUUAAAUGGGAAGGGCAGCACUGUAUCCUUUAUCCUUUUAUCUGCUAAUUACAAUUCUUUCAACCUUGCAGUAUGUUUCUCAAUAUCCGCAGACUCCACUGUAGCCUUUGUAGACGCGUACCAUACCAUAAUAAUUACACAAGUGUAAAUUUCCUCACGCAUAACUUGAUCCAAAGUUGGGUACAUUAUCGGUGCUAAUUAUUUAUCGGAACAACUUACCGUCGCUGUCUUGAA